rnacentral:rRNA from 1 species
AGCGGCGGAUGGGUGAGUAACACGUGGGGAACCUGCCCCUAAGUCUGGGAUACCAUUUGGAAACAGGUGCUAAUACCGGAUAAUAAAGCAGAUCGCAUGAUCAGCUUUUGAAAGGCGGCAUAAGCUGUCGCUAAGGGAUGGCCCCGCGGUGCAUUAGCUAGUUGGUAAGGUAACGGCUUACCAAGGCGACGAUGCAUAGCCGAGUUGAGAGACUGAUCGGCCACAUUGGGACUGAGACACGGCCCAAACUCCUACGGGAGGCAGCAGUAGGGAAUCUUCCACAAUGGACGCAAGUCUGAUGGAGCAACGCCGCGUGAGUGAAGAAGGUUUUCGGAUCGUAAAGCUCUGUUGUUGGUGAAGAAGAAUAGAGGUAGUAACUGGCCUUUAUUUGACGGUAAUCAACCAGAAAGUCACGGCUAACUACGUGCCAGCAGCCGCGGUAAUACGUAGGUGGCAAGCGUUGUCCGGAUUUAUUGGGCGUAAAGCGAGCGCAGGCGGAAAAAUAAGUCUAAUGUGAAAGCCCUCGGCUUAACCGAGGAACUGCAUCGGAAACUGUUUUUCUUGAGUGCAGAAGAGGAGAGUGGAACUCCAUGUGUAGCGGUGGAAUGCGUAGAUAUAUGGAAGAACACCAGUGGCGAAGGCGGCUCUCUGGUCUGCAACUGACGCUGAGGCUCGAAAGCAUGGGUAGCGAACAGGAUUAGAUACCCUGGUAGACCAUGCCGUAAACGAUGAGUGCUAA